AGAUGUCUGAAUGGGGGAACCCACCUACUUUAAGGUAGGUAUUGCAACAUGAAUACAUAGUGUUGCAAGGCGAACGAGGGGAAGUGAAACAUCUCAGUACCCUUAGGAAAAGAAAUCAAUUGAGAUUCCCUCAGUAGCGGCGAGCGAACGGGGAUCAGCCCAUUAAGUUAUGUGUGUUUUAGUGGAACGCUCUGGGAAGUGCGAACGUAGAGGG
rnacentral:rRNA from 1 species